rnacentral:rRNA from 1 species
CGUGUAGGCGGUCGGCCAAGUCUGAUGUGAAAGCCCGGGGCUCAGCUCCGGAAGUGCGUCGGAAACUAGCCGGCUGGAGCGCGAUAGAGGAGGGUGGAAUUCCUGGUGUAGCGGUGAAAUGCGUAGAUAUCAGGAGGAACACCGGCGGCGAAGGCGGCCCUCUGGAUCGUUGCUGACGCUGAGACGCGAAAGCGUGGGGAGCAAACAGGAUUAGAUACCCUGGUAGUCCACGCUGUAAACUAUGGGUACUAGGUGUUUGGGGUAUUGACCCCCUGAGUGCCGCAGUUAACGCAUUAAGUACCCCGCCUGGGGACUACGGCCGCAAGGUUAAA